rnacentral:rRNA from 1 species
AUUGAACGCUGGCGGCAGGCCUAACACAUGCAAGUCGAACGAGUGGCGGACGGGUGAGUAAUGUCUGGGAAACUGCCUGAUGGCGGGGGAUAACUACUGGAAACGGUAGCUAAUACCGCAUACCAUCGGAUGUGCCCAGAUGGGAUUGGCUAGUAGGUGGGGUAACGGCUCACCUAGGCGACGAUCCCUAGCUGGUCUGAGAGGAUGACCAGACACACUGUAACUGAGACACGGUCCAGACUCCUACGUGAGGCAGCAGUGGGGAAUAGUGAACAAUGGGCGAAAGCCUGAUGCAGCCAUGCCGCGUGUAUGAAGAAGGCCGUCGGGUUGUAAAGUACUUUCAGCGGGGAGGCGUUACCCGCAGAAGAAGCAGCGGCUAACUCCGUGCCAGCAGCCGCGGUAAUAC